rnacentral:rRNA from 1 species
GCAAGUCGAACGGCAGCGGGGGCUUCGGCCUGCCGGCGAGUGGCGAACGGGUGAGUAAUGCAUCGGAACGUACCCAGUCGUGGGGGAUAACUACGCGAAAGCGUAGCUAAUACCGCAUACGCCCUGAGGGGGAAAGCGGGGGACCUUCGGGCCUCGCGCGAUUGGAGCGGCUGAUGUCGGAUUAGCUAGUUGGUGGGGUAAAGGCCUACCAAGGCGACGGUCCGUAGCUGGUCUGAGAGGAUGAUCAGCCACACUGGGACUGAGACACGGCCCAGACUCCUACGGGAGGCAGCAGUGGGGAAUUUUGGACAAUGGGCGCAAGCCUGAUCCAGCCAUGCCGCGUGAGUGAAGAAGGCCUUCGGGUUGUAAAGCUCUUUCAGACGGAAAGAAAUCGGGUGCGUGAAUAGCGUGCCUGGAUGACGGUACUGUCAGAAGAAGCACCGGCUAACUACGUGCCAGCCGCCGCGGUAAU